GGUGUGGAGUCCAGGCGCAGGGGAACCGAGCUAGCAACUGCCUGGAUGCAAGGACAAGUAAAUGGCAAGGAAAAGUAGUUUCCAGUGAUCAGCUUUUGGUGAUGGUUGGAGUGAGUAGGAGUACUGCAGUUGGUAGCUAU